rnacentral:lncRNA from 1 species
UCCGAGAGCCCGGACUGGAGUAUCUGAGAACAUAUUUCUUCCCUAUAGGAGUUGAGAAGAGGAGGAAGAAUAAUGGGAGGAGACAGGACGUUUUUCAACUUGACAAAUAGAGUCAACUUUUAUAACACUGUUACUGGGAAUACUUGACUUACUAAGCUUUUACUGAACACUUUAAUUUUGGGAGUACAAUUUCUAAACUCACGAAAUAAUCUUCAUGCAACAAGAUGUUACUUUAUCAAAUUUUGGUAUUACAUGCUCAUUCUUAACUUUGACAAAUUUUAAUUAACAGAUUUCUGAGAGAGCAGACACCAUCUUAUUUCUGUUGAAUUGUAUUUAGUAACUCAAAAGGCAUAUACCAAGCUGUCAGAAGCAGCUUCAUUUAAAAGAAAUAAAAUUUCUAGUCCUGCCUGAAGUUUAAGCUAGCCCAUGACUACUCAAGUGCAACUGUAUUUCCCAGGUAGAUGCCGGUAGAUUGGGCCCAGUAAGUUUGGGCCGUUGGGAUGUGAAAGGAAGAGAUGCGGGCAACUUUUUGGGUCAUCUUCUUAAAGAAAAAGCCAUUUGUCCUGGAUGUCCUCUUUUCUUUUUUCUCUUUGGCUGGGAAAUGACAAGAAUUAAAGCAGCAGCCUUGGAUCCAGAGAUGGACGCCAAUUGAUGAAGACGGCAGAACUGACUGGCUAGUCUGGGUUCCCUGGAGCAGAGCUGUCUCUCCACCCUAGGUUAUCCACUUACUUUUGUACUGUUAUGUGAGAGAGAAAUAAACUUCUAUCUUCUUU